GUCCAAAUAAAAAUUCCAGGCGCAUUGUCCAAAAAACAACUUUCCCAAUUUAUACCAUAGGCUAUAGUAAAGCACAAUCGAUAGAGUCUGGUUAGAAGAUGGCAGUCAAUCUAGUGUCAACAACUAUAAGGGAAGCCUUAUCACAGACAGGAUGGGGAACACUCCAAGUAUGGCUGUAACUAUCCUAGUUGUUGAAAUAGAAAAUAACACGAAGGGGGUGGGUGGGAGGAGAGAAUUAUCAAUGGGAACACUUCUUGUGGUAUUAAUGAACACACUGACUGUGAUUUAUUAUUGGGCAAACGUCUUGUGGUAUUUAUGAAUAUCACAGUAAGUAUGCCAAUAAAAAAAUACCUUAG